rnacentral:rRNA from 1 species
CCCGCCGGCGACCGGCGCACGGGUGAGUAACACGUAUGAAACCUGCCCGUAGCAGGGGGAUAAGCGGAAGAAAUUCCGUCUAAUACCGCGUAACAACCCAUGGAGGCAUCUCUGUGGGUUUAAAGGAAGCGAUUCCGGCUACGGAUGGUCAUGCGUCGCAUUAGCUUGUUGGCGGGGUAACGGCCCACCAAGGCGACGAUGCGUAGGGGUUCUGAGAGGAAGGUCCCCCACACUGGUACUGAGACACGGACCAGGCUCCUACGGAAGGCAGCAG